UACGUAGGUGGCGAGCGUUGUCCGGAUUUACUGGGCGUAAAGAGCGCGCAGGCGGUCGUACAAGUCGCGUGUGAAAGCCCCUGGCUCAACUGGGGAGGGUCACGCGAUACUGAUCGACUCGAAGGCAGGAGAGGGAAGUGGAAUUCCCGGUGUAGUGGUGAAAUGCGUAGAUAUCGGGAGGAACACCAGUGGCGAAGGCGACUUCCUGGCCUGUUCUUGACGCUGAGGCGCGAAAGCUAGGGGAGCAAACGGG
rnacentral:rRNA from 1 species